rnacentral:snRNA from 1 species
GGAUGUGAGGGCAAUCUGGUUGCAAUAUCUGUCACCACAUUGAUCUCCAGGACUGGUUUGGCUGAUCUGGCUGGCUAGGCAGGUGCCCCCUUCCUCUGAAACCUGCUUGUUUGGUUGAAGAGGACGACCAUCCCUGAUAGAGGAGGACAGGUCUUUGGUCAAGAGUAUACAGGUAGCUGUGCUCCCCCUCUGGAACCUCCAAACAAGCUCUCAUCACUGGCAGGGACAGUUACCAUGACUGUGCUAAUCACACAGCACCCCUGGAGCAGAGACGAAUGUUGGGGUGGCAACCAUACUGU